UACGUAGGGUGCAAGCGUUGUCCGGAAUUAUUGGGCGUAAAGAGCUCGUAGGCGGUUUGUUGCGUCGGCUGUGAAAUCCCCGAGGCUCAACCUCGGGUCUGCAGUCGAUACGAGCAAACUAGAGUGUUGCAGGGGAGACUGGAAUUCCUGGUGUAGCGGUGAAAUGCGCAGAUAUCAGGAGGAACACCGGUGGCGAAGGCGGGUCUCUGGGCCGAAACUGACGCUGAGGAGCGAAAGCGUGGGGAGCAAACAGG
rnacentral:rRNA from 1 species